rnacentral:rRNA from 1 species
CGCGAAUUCGCCCUUCGGGGCGCACCAGGCGCGAAAACUCCACAAUGUGCGAAAGCAUGAUGGGGUUAACCCGAGUGCUGUCCGAUGAGGAUAGCUUUUCUUCAGUUUAAGGAUCUGUAGGAAUAAAGGGGGGGCAAGACUGGUGUCAGCCGCCGCGGUAAUACCAGCCCCCUGAGUGGUAGGGACGAUUAUUUGGCCUAAAGCGUCCGUAGCCUGUUUGGUAAGUCUUUCGUCAAAUCCGACGAUUCCAUCGUCGGCUCGCGGAAGAUACUGCCAGACUUGGGGACGGGAGAGGUCGACGGUAGUCCCGGGGUAGGGGUGAAAUCCUAUAAUCCUGGGGGGACCACCAGUGGCGAAGGCGGUCGACUAGAACGUGCCUGACGGUGAUGGACGAAAGCUGGGGGAGCGAACCGGAUUAGACACCCGGGUAGUCCCAGCUGUAAACGAUGCGAGCUAGGUGUUGGAGCAACUACGGGUUGCUCCAGUGCCGCAGAGAAGUUGUUAAGCUCGCCGCCUGGGAAGUACGGCCGCAAGGCUGAAACUUAAAGGAAUUGGCGGGGGAGCAC